rnacentral:lncRNA from 1 species
CGGCCUCGGGCCUGGGUGCCCCGUGCGGGGUGCGGGAAUCGGGAGGCGCCCCCCGCGCUGCUGUCCUCCGAGCCCCCGAAGGGGUGGCGGCGGGGCCUGCGCCCGAGGACAGUGCAGCGUCUGCAGCCCUUCGUCUCAGGCGUCUUGGACAAUCCGGGAGGGCUCCCUGGAGAAGGUGACGGCUUUGCAAUGAUAGCGCUUUGCUUGCAGCGCUCUCGCGGAUGGGGAGCCGCUUCCGUCCCGAACGCUCCUCUGUGCAUCGGGGACAUCCUUCAAAUCGUUCAGGACUCCGAGAGUCACUCGGUCCCUGGAAACUCUGGGAACGGCCACAGGCACAAGGCGGAGAGUGGCAGCUUUCUUGUUUGGUCGAGGGAAACCCGGCGCUGGGUCUGCCACGUGGGAGGGUGGCAGUGGGGGGAAACGGACCCCCUGAGUCUUCACCCAGACCCAGGGACGCCCGGCUGCGGGGAAGAAUUCAAGGUCACAAUCCGAGUCAUAGUUUGGGGACACCUGUUCUCGGCAGAUCCAGCAGGGCUUUUGCGUCCGACUUCAGAUUUUUAGGGAUGCCUGAUGUCUGAUCAGACCUUUGGGGAUCAUCUGAGUUGGGGACGCCCUCUCAGACAUCUUCUAUUUCCGGGCUAGAGUACCGUGGCGUCAGCCUAGCUCACACCAGCCUCCAACUCCUGGGCUUGAGCGAUCCUCCUGCCUCAGCCUCCCGAGUAGCUGAGACUACAGGCAUGUGCCACG